rnacentral:rRNA from 1 species
UACGUAGGGGGCAAGCGUUGUCCGGAAUCAUUGGGCGUAAAGCGCGUGUAGGCGGCUCGAUAAGUCUGCUGUGAAAGUCCAGGGCUCAACCCUGGGAUGCCGGUGGAUACUGUCGGGCUCGAGUCCGGAAGAGGCGAGUGGAAUUCCUGGUGUAGCGGUGAAAUGCGCAGAUAUCAGGAGGAACACCGAUGGCGAAGGCAGCUCGCUGGGACGUGACUGACGCUGAGACGCGAAAGCGUGGGGAGCAAACAGG